CCGUGGGCUAUAUGAUGGCCAAAAAGCACCUGGAGAUCAACCCCAACCACCCCAUUGUGGAGACGCUGCGGCAGAAGGCUGAGACACACAAGAAUGACAAGGCAGUCAAGGACCUGGUGGUGCUGCCGUUAGAAACUGCCUUGCUGUCUUCUGGCUUUUCCCUUGAGGAUCCCCAGACCCAUUCCAACCACAUCUACUGCAUGAUCAAGCUAGGUCUAGGUAUCGAUGAAGAUUAAGUGACAGCAGAGGAACACAGUGCUGUGGUUCCUGAUGAGAUCACCCCUCUUGAGGGUGACGAGGAUGUGUGAUGCAUCUCGCAUGGAAGAAGUAGAUUAGGAGUUCAUAGUUGGAAAACUCACCAUUGUAUAGUGUCCCCAUGGAUCCCAUGGCAUCAUCGAGUGCCCACUUUGCUCCCCCUGCUGAUGUCUAGUGUUUUUUUUUUCUCUCCUGUCCUUGUGUUGAAGGCAAGAAACAAGGGUGUCAAGCCCCCAUUCCCUCCUUACUCUGAUAGCAAGAUUGGAUGUUAUAUAUUAUGAGGCUUUUUGUUUAUUUUGUUCAUUUUGUUCUGAAAUUACAGUAUGCAAAAUAAAGAAUAUGUCAUUUUUAUACAAAAAG
rnacentral:lncRNA from 1 species